UACAGAGGGUGCGAGCGUUAUCGGAAUUACUGGGCGUAAAGCGUGCGCAGGCGGUUUUGUAAGACAGCUGUGAAAUCCCCGGGUUUAACCUGGGAACUGCGGUUGUGACUGCAAGACUGGAGUGCGGCAGAGGGGGGUGGAAUUCCACGUGUAGCAGUGAAAUGCGUAGAGAUGUGGAGGAACACCGAUGGCGAAGGCAGCCCCCUGGGUCGACACUGACGCUCAUGCACGAAAGCGUGGGGAGCAAACAGG
rnacentral:misc_RNA from 1 species